GGAUUGGAGUCUGCAACUCGACUCCAUGAAGUCGGAAUCGCUAGUAAUCGUGGAUCAGAAUGCCACGGUGAAUACGUUCCCGGGCCUUGUACACACCGCCCGUCACACCAUGGGAGUGGSUUGCAAAAGAAGUAGGUAGCUUAACCUUCGGGAGGGCGCUUACCACUUUGUGAUUCAUGACUGGGGUGAAGUCGUAACAAGGUAACCGUAGGGGAACCUGCGGUUGGAUCACCUCCUUA
rnacentral:rRNA from 1 species